UUGGUCAAUGGGCGCUAGCCUGAACCAGCCAAGUAGCGUGAAGGAUGACUGCCCUAUGGGUUGUAAACUUCUUUUAUAAGGGAAUAAAAUGGGGAACGUGUUCCCCUUUGCAUGUACCUUACGAAUAAGGAUCGGCUAACUCCGUGCCAGCAGCCGCGGUAAUACGGAGGAUCCGAGCGUUAUCCGGAUUUAUUGGGUUUAAAGGGUGCGUAGGCGGAAUGAUCAGUCAGUUGUGAAAGUUUGAGGCUCAACCUUAAAAUUGCAGUUGAUACUGUCAUUCUUGAGUGUACAAGAGGUGGGCGGAAUUCGUGGUGUAGCGGUGAAAUGCUUAGAUAUCACGAAGAACUCCGAUUGCGAAGGCAGCUCACUGGGGUACAACUGACGCUGAGGCACGAAAGUGUGGGUAUCAAACAGGAUUAGAUACCCUGGUAGUCCACACAGUAAACGAUGAAUACUCGCUGUUUGCGAUAUACAGUAAGCGGCUAAGCGAAAGCGUUAAGUA
rnacentral:rRNA from 1 species